rnacentral:rRNA from 1 species
ACGCUCGACACCUACGGGGGCAGCAGUGGGGAAUAUUGCACAAUGGGGGAAACCCUGAUGCAGCGAUGCCGCGUGAAGGAAGAAGUAUCUCGGUAUGUAAACUUCUAUCAGCAGGGAAGAAAAUGACGGUACCUGACUAAGAAGCCCCGGCUAACUACGUGCCAACAGCCGCGGUAAUCUGAGCGGGCUGGCAAGGC